rfam:Papio anubis isolate 1X1155 chromosome 2, whole genome shotgun sequence.
AUUCUUUUGUGAUUCGUAAGCAUGAUUGGGUGUUCACACUCGCGGGUGAGAUGUGCCUCCUUCCAACCUUGUUACAACGUUAGCACAUUACCUGUCUGACA